rnacentral:lncRNA from 1 species
CAAAUAUCAACAGGAAUAUGUGGUGGCGGCCUAAGCCUGAAGCCCGAAGCCCGAAGCCCAAGCACCCAAACCCGUGCCGCUCGUACUCCUGGUUCGUGCAACAAAAACAACAGCAAGAACACCCGCCUUAAUGGUGUUUGAGUGGCCGUAUCUGUGUAUCGGCAAGUGUCACUUUGGCACAUCAUUUGGAUCCCCGGACACACAAUAGCGGCCUCCGCCGUUUGAGCUACCGCCAGCGUCGGAUCCGAGCACAGGCCAGGUUGGAGCAUUUUGACGUCGGCAGAUUCGGAGAGGUCUGCUCUGUCUCUGCCACACAUCGACGGGUCCACUCGGAGAGUGAAGCUGGGGACAGCGAUUGAAGCUCAGUGAAGACUGAGGCUGAAGCUGGGCCCUGCAGCUGCAGUCGGCCUAGACCUGGCGACGACUCUUUGGGGCAAGGCGCUGCCUGAGCCCGCCGAGUCGUCUUGGCAUUUGACAUGCGCUCGCAUUUAGGCAACAUUAUGCACAGGAUUAGUUGACAGCCAGCAGUGCCACCGCUUCCCAAUCCCAGACUCACUCUCCACUGGUCACGUGCGUGCCGCGGCUUUGCUUGUGUCAGUGUCUCGUUGCAUAUGGCUCGUGCCUGUCUUUGGGCAAUCGACACCAUCAUAAUAUUGUGCUGC